rnacentral:rRNA from 1 species
CUAUGCGCCUUGCCAGCCCGCUCAGGUGUCCAGCAGCCGCGGUAAUACGUAGGGGGCAAGCGUUAUCCGGAUUUACUGGGUGUAAAGGGAGCGCAGACGGCGCGGCAAGUCCGGAGUGAAAGCCCGGGGCCCAACCCCGGGACUGCUCUGGAAACUGCGGCGCUCGAGUGCCGGAGGGGCAGGCGGAAUUCCUAGUGUAGCGGUGAAAUGCGUAGAUAUUAGGAGGAACACCAGUGGCGAAGGCGGCCUGCUGGACGGCGACUGACGUUGAGGCUCGAAAGCGUGGGGAGCAAACAGG